UUUUGAAGACAUCCAACUUCCAUUUUUUUUCCUUCUUCAAUUUGCAGAGAACUUCUAAAAGAGAGUUUGGAAGAAGAAGAGGAAUUUUACUAGAAUUUGGAGGUUGAAGAAGAGGAGGAGAACUCAAGCAAAAUGUAUCCAUAGGUGAAUUUUAGUUCAUUCUGCACAUCACUGGUUUUUAAUUCGGUUUGAACUCUUCAAAAGGAAUUAAGAGGGCAGUUGGUUUUCACUCAAAAUCAGGAGGUCUUUGGUGUUUCUUGUAUUUCAGAGUGUACUGGUGGAGUUAGAAUCUCUAUUUGAUAUGGUUGGAAAGCUUAUUCAAUUUACUACAACUUACAUGAAGAAAUCGUGAACCAAAAACGACUAAAAAGCAGUUAAAUUGUAGGGACAAUGUAAAGAGGUCGUGUGUGCGCGAUUCUGGAAGUGGUUCUAUUUUGAGGGUUAUCUGAGUUUAUGCACGAGGAAUCAGAUUUACAUGUCUUCAGGUAAGGGUACAACGAGGGGCAGACCGACGAGAGGCAGGAAGGAUGCGUGAAGGCCAUAUGGACGCGUCUGGUUUUCUUUAUGCUUCCGCUGAUGUAUUUUGUUAGAA